rnacentral:lncRNA from 1 species
CUGCCCUUGUCAUCUGCUAAAACAAUGGGGCUUCUGGUGUCUUCUCCCUAUUCCCGUCUCCAUCCACAGAGUGGGAACGAGGGCCCAUCAUCGGGCAGUCGUGAACGCCAGGUCAGCUGAGUGGAGGAGACAUUGUGAUACACCCCAGAGACAUGCAAGUGUCCUUCCUUCCUUCCUUCCCUACUCCUGUGAGGCAGAUACUUCACCAAGACGAAACCUUCCUCCUGCUCUUGAAUUAGUGCCUUGGGCAUUGGUGAAUGUGAAGCAGAGGGGAAAAAUUGAAAAUCGCUUGUCCAAAGAUGUCUUUCUCUUGCUGGCCUCACUCACUAAUUCUAGAGAGGAAGUGUUUACUGGAGGAUAAGGUACCACACUGAGGAAGAGAGUCCGGCUGCUCCUGCAUGCACCCCGCAGGUCACAGCUCCAGGUCGCAGUCAUCCGUGAGGAAAAUCAGGGCAGGACGUCAAAGCGGGAACUCUGUCAGCUGUUUCCUCUUUUUCUAGACAUUCCAGCCUGCUCGUCUUGUGAUCACUUAGGGGCCAGCAACGCCAUUCCAUGAGCCAUUGGCUUGUUGAUGAAUCAAGCCAGGUUAAGCUUGUGAUGUAGCAAUUGAUGACCUUGAAAUUCUUCUUUGGCUUCCCCAGCUGGGGCCACAGCUGUGCAUCACCACACCUGGUAUACGCAGCCCUGGGAACAGAACUCAAGGCGUUGUGCAUGCUAGGCAAGCAUUCUGCCGCCGAACUAUAUACCCAGCUGCCCACGGAACACCUACAGGAGUUCAUGCCAAGGGGCAGUUCCAGGAAAGGACACUG